CUACGUAGGGGGCAAGCGUUAUCCGGAUUUACUGGGUGUAAAGGGAGCGUAGACGGUAAAGCAAGUCUGAAGUGAAAGCUCGGGGCUCAACCCCGGAACUGCUUUGGAAACUGUUUUACUGGAGUGCAGGAGAGGUAAGCGGAAUUCCUAGUGUAGCGGUGAAAUGCGUAGAUAUUAGGAGGAACACCAGAGGCGAAGGCGGCUUACUGGACUGUAACUGACGUUGAGGCUCGAAGGCGUGGGGAGCAAACAGGAUUAGAUACCCUGGUAGUCCACGCGGUAAGCGAUGAUCACUAGGUGUCGGCGGCCAUAGGCGGUCGGUGCCGCAGCAAACGCAAUAAGUGAUCCACCUGGGGAGUACGUUCGCAAGAAUGAAACUCAAAUGAAUUGACGGGG
rnacentral:rRNA from 1 species